AUGCAAUCUUUUGAUGAAAAACUUAAUUUGGAAGUUUCUAUACCUAGAAAACUUAAUGAUGAGUGGGAACCUACUAUAAAGAUUAAAAUUAAAGAUUAUGAGUGUUUUGCUUUAUGUGAUUUGGGUGCUAGUGUUUCCACAAUUCUGAAAACUUUAUGUGAUAUUCUAGGUUUCCAUGAUCUUGAUGAUUGCUCUUUAAAUUUGCACCUUGCGGAUUCCACCAUUAAAAAGCCAAUGGGAAGGAUCAAUGAUGUUCUCAUUGUUGAAAAUAAAAAUUUGGUGCCCGUAGAUUUUAUCGUUCUUGAUAUAGAUUGCAAUCUUUCUUGUCCUAUUAUUCUUGGUAGACCUUUCCUUAGAACGAUUGGCGCGAUUAUUGAUAUGAAGGAAGGGAAUAUUAGAUUCCAAUUUCCACUAAGGAAAGGCAUGGAGCACUUUCCAAGAAAGAAAAUCAAAUUACCUUAUGAAUCUAUCAUGCGAGCUACUUAUGAAUUAAGUGCCAAAGAUUGCACUAGUUAG
rnacentral:rRNA from 1 species